UGGUUUUCUACCUCCCCUACUCUCCCAUAGUCCCAGCACCUGCUGGGAAACAAGCCUUUCCAUUGUCAGCAUUAUCUAAGCCAAGCACCAACCUUGCUUGCUUCUUUCAUUUCUCCCCUGACUGCAACAGCCUGUCCCUUCCCCUUCCCCCUCGGGGUGGAAAAAAAAAAUCCGGCUCUUCAAACAGGGAGGGAAACUUCCCACCCUCCAUUUUUGCUCACUUUGAUCCGGAAGAGCUUAGAAUUGGCAUGCAGGCUCACUCCUUUUCCCUGCUACUUGGAGAUUGUGUGGCCUAGGGGGAUGAGAAAGAAAACGAAAUAAGAAACCUUGUCUCUGACCCCCACAGGCCCCCAAUCAGGAGCCCUUGAAACAGACAGGAACCUAGAGUAGGGCUCCAAGGCAUGGGAUUCCUUGGAACAUGGGAGGAACAUGAACUGGGGUGCAGGUACCUGAAAAGACCAUGGAAGAUGGUGGCAGAAGUCUCUCCACUUCCACUUUCAGCUGAUCAGAGCUGGGGACCAGGAAGGUAAAGACUUAUGAUAGUAUUUCCUCAGUCAACCCAGAAACAAAACACUUCUGUGUCCUGGCCUCCCCGUAGAAGUCCAUGCUGAGCUACUCAGAGUUACUCAGGGAACUUCAUCUUAACUCCUUUUCCCCCCAGUGCAGAGAGAUAGUCUAGGUGCAGAUAAAACCCUCGGGAUGAAGGUCGUAGUUGCCUCCUCCCUCAGAUUGCACUGACAGAAAUAUUUCCUAUGCUCCUCGGCUCAUUUCUUUACUCUGCAUUCUCAAAUAACUCAAGUCCCUGUUGUUGAUGGGGACCUUUCCUUGAGAGCCGAAGUCUGUUAGGGAUGCCAGCAAAGUGAUAGAAGUCCCUGCAAUAACAAGUUCUCACUGUCACCUUUAAACCCAGUGCCCCAAGAGCUGUUGUCAGCUCCUGGGUCUGAAUUUAGGAGGGGCGGGUCUCAAGCAGGAGCUCAGCUAGAGGGACCCCACGCUUCCCCCCUGAGUCCUGUCACAUUCAGCUCCGGGGCUGUUCCCACUACACAAAGUGCAGCUCAAUUAGGAAGUGGGGCCAUUAACGUGACCUCAAUUCCUUGACUCAUCCAAAGAAGAAGCCGCUGUCCGUUUGUGCCUCCAUCCUAGGGCCCUUAAGAGGAAACCCUAGAAUCCCAGCCCGCAUGGUCUGUGCACGAUGAAAUGCCCCCACCCCAGCAGAGAGGACCCAGGAUCUAGGUGUCCUAGCUCCAAGCCCUGCUGGCACAGCACAGGGAGGCGGGGCCACAGUUCAGUCUGGUCUAGCAUUCCUCUGGGGCAAACCAGGCCGGACACGAGACCCAUCUCUCCCGCCAGACAGCGGCCACCAGCAGGGACGGCGAGGAAGGGCAAGGGUCCCCUGGGGGUGUCCACCGAGGCACCCCCGCCCUUCUCCCCCAGGCCUGCCCCCAGACCCAUCCAACCCGAAACCGACUCCCGCAUUCCUACUCGAGGAAGCCCCGAGUCCCGGCGCUGGAGCGUUACCUCCGGUGACCCCCCACAGCCUGUUGCCAGAUGGGGACUGGUGACUAGUUUUCCACAAAUAGAGACACAGAACAGUCUCCGCCUCCUGCAACUCGCUUCCCUGGGGCCACAUCAAGCCAGGUUUUUCCACCAGCCAAAAGACCUCAGCCAAGACGUCCUGAAUCUCCCAGACCAGCAAUAACCACGUCAUCCACCCCUUUCCAUCCCCUCCCCCCUGAACUAGAGGACUGGUCACUCCCUCACUUUCCCAGGACCCUGCUGUACUCUUCCUGCCCUCUAAGUACACGGCUUUCCCAGGAAGCCUGGGUGAGCAGAGAAUUCCUUCCCAAAUAGCUGGUACGAAGUACCAGUAAUCAGUAAUCAGAGCCCUGGGGAAGAGGGCCGCAUCAUCUCACUCCUUCCUAGACAUCAUUACUUCUCAAUCACCACGAAGUUGAGGAAUGUUUCCCACUCCCGUGUCUCCACUCCACACCUCUAAAUCCACAGCCACCUUAGAAACCUCCCACAAACCAGGGAGCCCAAAAACACCUUAAAGACCAAUAUUUUAUUUUUUGUUUGUUUGUUUUUCGAGACAAGGUUUCUCUGUAGCUUUGGGGCCUGUCCUCUUGUAGACCAGGUUGGCCUCCAACACUCAGAGAUCCACCUGCCUUCUGCCUCCCGAGUGCUGGAAUUAAAGGUGUGUGCCACCAACUCAUGGCCAUUCCUCAGCAUUUUCAAAGGGAAAAAAAAUUCUGUGAAUGAUUAGGACUGAAUAAUUUAUUUUAUUGUGAUAUUGAGAGUAAAUACAGAUAUUAUUAAUAAAAUAAAAAUGAUGGAAAACAGAAGCAAUAAAUGAAGAUGACCACGCUGCCCAUAAUACACAACCUCAAGGUUAGAGAAUCCAGUUCUAAAGAACGGCUGCUGGUGUCACAGGGCUUUAUUG